rnacentral:rRNA from 1 species
AGAGAGAGACAUGCGCGCAUAUCAAUAAGCGGAGGAAAAGAAACUAACUAGGAUUCCCUUAGUAAUGACGAGUGAAGCGGGAAGAGCUCAAAUUUGAAAUCUUCAAGGGUUUCCCUUUACGAAUUGUAGUUUAAAGAAGUGUUUUCUGUUGAGGUUUUGGUAAAAGUUCUUUGGAAUAGGACAUCAUAGAGGGUGAGAAUCCCGUAUUUGACCUUUACUUUCAACUUUGUGAUACACUUUCAAAGAGUCGGAUUGUUUGGGAAUGCAGUCCAAAAUGGGUGGUAAAUUUCAUCUAAAGCUAAAUAUUGGCGAGAGACCGAUAGCGAACAAGUACCGUGAGGGAAGGAUGAAAAGAACUUUGAAAAGAGAGUUAAACAGUACGUGAAAUUGUCAAAAGGGAAGCGUUUGACACCAGUGUUGUUUUUCUGAAAAUCAAUUAAAGAACUGUUUAUGCUAAGUUGUUUAGACUUUAUCAGCUAACUGUUUAGUUUUGAGCUUUUCUUUAAUGCACUUUUCAGUUAACAAGUCAACAUCAAUUUCUUUUGCUGUAAAAAAGCUUGAGGAAGGUGGCUUGAGAUUCGUCUUAAGUGUUUAUAGCCUCUUGCCUAUGCAGUCGGAGAGAUUGAGGUCUGCAGCGUAGAUCCUUCGGGGCUAAAUGCAUUUGUGCUAAGUUAUAGCAUUUUAUAGACAACUUGUUGACUAUGAUUUGUCUUGUAGCUUACUCGCUUAUGUUAUUUUACCUACGCUUAGGAUGUUGAAGACUCUACAGAGAUA